UACAGAGGUCCCAAGCGUUGUUCGGAUUCACUGGGCGUAAAGGGUGCGUAGGCGGUCGGGUAAGUCUGAUGUGAAAUCUCACAGCUUAACUGUGAAACUGCAUUGGAUACUAUACGGCUCGAGGAAUGGAGGGGAGACUGGAAUACUUGGUGUAGCAGUGAAAUGCGUAGAUAUCAAGUGGAACACCAGUGGCGAAGGCGAGUCUCUGGACAUUUCCUGACGCUGAGGCACGAAAGCCAGGGGAGCAAACGGG
rnacentral:rRNA from 1 species